UUUAAAAGGGCUUGCUCCUUGUUUCCACAUUGAAAUAACAUAAUACUCUCUGUAGAGUAGACUAUAUUCUUCCUUCAAAAAUAUCAGUGAGAAGACACAUUUUGUUCAGUUGUGGGGAGCUUAAUUUCUCAUUCUCCUUUUUUGCCAGCAAUCUUAAAACGUACACCUCGAUUCCCAACUGCUCUUCUUAUUGGGCAUAUCUACAUUGGAGACCAAGAAGUGUUUCUCAGCUCCUGGCUACGUGGCCAGCUCAUCCUUUGUAUGUCCUACAUACAUCCCAGGAUGUCACACAGGGAUGCAGCAUUAUGCAUCUUCCCAGUGCGUAACAGAUGUCGUCGUUCUUCUACCUGCAAUAAAUGCCUCCACUUGUAGAAUGAAGAACAAUUAUCUCAGCACAGUGAUGGAAGUUAUACAAGGAUAAGAGGGAAUGCUGACUUCUUUUUCUCUGUGACACAUGGAGCACUUAUCAGAUAAAAUUGCUGUAUCGAUAGAGGAAAUCUAGCUCCAUGCGUGAUUAAUGACUAAGGUAGCGCCCUAUCAAACAUGCAACAUGCAUUGGGAUAUUUGAUGCAUCUGACAGCCCAAGAAUGAUUAUCCUGUGGAGGAACGGAAAGCAGACCGUGACAAAAUUACAGUUCCCGAUGUAUCCAGCUGCAUCAAUAAAAUGGCACGCCACAACAAAUGGGACUCCUGACCCCAUCACUUACAGUGGAGCAGAUCAUUUGUAUAAACAAGUUAUUUAGGUGCUUAGACAGUUUUCUUUAAUGUACUUUGUGGUUGAUUAAUAAGGCCUCCCUCCACCUUUUACAGAAGAGAUGUUAGAGAGUGAGAAGGGAGAGAAGCAAUACACUGGAAAGUUUGAUUCUGCGCAGAGCUUUUCUACAGAUAUUUAGUUUUAAAUUGCGCAAAUUACCACCUCAAGAAAGCACCAUGCAUGAGUACGCCUGUGGGUAGUCUCUAUAAACAUAGAAACAGCCCAGAAAUGCCAACUCCAUUUUAAUGGCUGACCUUUUGCACAUGUUAUUGUGAGACUUGUGCCAAGCAGCAUAUCAUCUUCACUUGUAAACCAACACAGCUGGUAUUUUUUUCUCCUGACUACAGACAACUGUUCUUCUAGCAGACUAUUACAUAGCUUUCAUCAUACUUAAGGUAAUUACUUUUCCUCUUCUCUGCAUCUUCUUUUGGAAUUUGAAAACAUGGGAGAAAACAGACAUUUCUGUUACAGCCAGAGAGCUUUUCUGGAAUGUUAUGCUGUGUGUAUUCAUCGGAACAUGAAGAGUCACUAUAAAAGCAGUAUUUUAUUGAAGUAUUAGUUUAAAGUAACGUUUUCCAAAAUAGCACGUUUUCUAUGCCCAUCCAUUUAACUUGCAAGGAAUGAAUUUUUCAAAGGUCAUUCCAGGCACCCUAGUAUUUCAAGUUGCCAUCAGUUUUUGAACCAUAAUGCAGGGAAACUAUUCAAAUGCAGGGCUGACUGACUUCUGGGUUAUUUCCAUUAUGCAGGAAAAGUCUCCAACUCCAGAGGACUCUAUAUAAGCCAGUUACAGAGUCUCCAUGCAUCAAGCAGCCUGAAUCUGUUUUCCUGAAUAUAAUACCCCCUUGAAUUUAUUUUACUUUUCUAAAGCAAUUUUUAGUUUAUGUUUGGGUCUUUGUUUAGAAAUUUUGAGUCUAUAUUUCAAUUUAGAACAAAUCUAUUUAAAUAAUUUUGCAUUUUGUCUACCAAAAAAUACAGCAUUAAGGGGCUAAAUAAGACUAAUUACUUUACAGGCUUUAUUUCUGUCCUUUGCUUUGGUCAUAGAUUUAAGAAAGUCUGGUUAAUUCUCUUGCUUUUGCUAAUUUUUCCUUGGCACCACUCAAAGUCAAAAGAGGACACUGCUGAUCAAAACCAUAAAAUCUGUGCUUAAACUUCAGUUUCAGCUUGAGACAGACAGAGCUUAGAAAUCCAUCAGGAAUAUCUGUUCUUGUCUAUAAAAAAAUAGGAUCAUUUAUCUAAACAGUCCAAGGCAUGUUGCGAGGCUCUUCAGAUCCACAUCUCUUAAAAGAGCUGUAAGAACAAGUAGACUGUAUUCUCCGGUCAUAUAUUAAGUAGUAUUUUCUAUAUUUAUUUUCUUAGGUUUUACUUAUUUUCAUAGCAAUCUGUUCUUCUCCAUUAAAGUCUGUCCAUAUUUCUCCAGUGGAACAAAGCAAAGCUCUCUCCGAAGAGCACAAGAUACCUUGUACCUACAGUUAAUGAGAUCAUAAGGCACUUACCAAUUACAGUGGUUGGCAUAGCUGUGGAAAUUAGAAGUAUUGCCUUUUACAACGCCUUUGCUCUGUAUCAAACUCUUUGAGACUUAUGUGUUGAUCUUUGCUUCAUGACAAAUACUUAUAUUUUAUAAACCAGUAGCACCACCUGCUUAGCACAGCUCUUUGUCUUUUCUGAUAGUCAUGUUUCCUCACUGCAUUGCAGCUAAAUCAUGACAGAAUCUAAAUGUUGUGACUGCUAUUUGUAUGAUCGAUAUUCACUUGCAAAGUCAAUAUUCAUUGUACUAUUGGUGUUACGGAUCAGUACUGUCAUCCCUGCCUUACGCAGCUUGCAGCACAGGAGGGGUGUUGUUUUCCUGGAAUUGUCAUUAUUCUUGUCUAUAAUCUUCUUCUCAUCAAGAAACUGCUGUGUUUCAUAUGUUCCUGGUGAUGUAAGAGGAAAUCAGACCAAUACCUAGAUGAAAACACAGCUUGAUUUCACAGCUAAUAAUAUGAUUGCAACUGAAUCCAGUAGCUCAUACUCUUUAAACCCUAACCCUAGCUCCUUUUUUAGAUAAAUCUUUCUACUACAGUAUGAGAAAAAUCUGUUAGUUCAGUUGCUACAGUGAACAGAAGAUAUCUGUCAGCACAGAUGAGUUACUCCAGUACCCACCCAUUUUAACUAAUAACAUAGAAAUUAAUAUUUCUGACUCAGUUAUGCUAUCGUUGUUGACAAGUGCUGUCUCCUUUGUCAUUAAUAUUAUAACACCUGUCCUGAAAAAGGAGUACCUGUCUAAGCAGGGACGUAGUGAAUGUAAUCUUGCAUGUACUGUAAUGAGAUAUGACUGAUUCACUGUGAGUACAGGGAAAUCAGAGUUAUCGAUACUAUACUAAAAGUAUUUGCAUCUAAAGUAUAGUCUUAUCUCUCUCACAGCCAUAGAGAACAAUUAGUUUAUAAAAAUGUCGUAAAGGUUUGUUGGCAGUGUCAUGUGCUUUGGUACAGGAAGAAAUUUCAGCUUCACUGGAGGUACUUCCACAGCCAAAAAUGUGUAGUUUUUCCUGUUGGAAAAAGGAAAAAUAAAUAAUCUAGCAGUCUUUUAAGAUCUUGCAGUGCAAUUUCAGCAUGUAUUGUGCUCACAAGCAUCUUAGUGGUUUGCUGCUAAAUUGGUAUUCUGCUGUUUCCAGAAGCUUCUUGGUGAAA